rnacentral:lncRNA from 1 species
GACUGGGCUUCCCUGUAUCUAUGGUCUGACGGACAAACAGCCCCAUUCUCAGAGUUCAUAACGGAGUGCUUACAUUAUUACACUUGUGCAAUUCAAGAUAUAUUUAUUUUACCCUUUCAGUAUUUGUUGUUGUUGUUGUUGUUGAAAAAGGUACAAAAUGUUUGAAUUGUUUAAAAAGUUAUUUUAAGCUAUACAGGUUUUGUGUUCUCAGAGGGAUGGGAUCAAAACACAGCAAGAUGACAAUUCAGUUGAAAAGAUAAGAGUAGUCAGCACUUCAGACUAGUGAGGACAAUGUGCAUUAUAAUGCAGCUGUUUAGUUUGACGACUGUGACACACAAACGCAGUCAUUUCACUGUGAGAACUGACGGACUGUAAUAAUAAUAAUGUGUUUUAAAGCCUACAUACACACAAACAGGUUGUACUUUCUGCUAAAUUCAAUGUAGGCUUUUUUCUUGUUGCUUUUGACAACAACAACAGUACACCAAAGUUCAGAAUAGAUGAACAAUGUUUCUGUGUGUUUGGCGUUUCUAAUGAUAAGCUAAGUGACAGCUGUAUUGGAGAGACAGAGGCAGGAUAAAACACAACACAUCACUCAAAUGUUUGGUGAGAAAAUAGGUGAGAUACUGUACUGGCUAGAUGGGAGGUACUGUACUGUACUGGCUAGAUGGGAGGUACUGUACUGUAUUGGCUAGAUGGGAGGUACUGUACUGUAUUGGCUAGAUGGGAGGUACUGUACUGUAUUGGCUAGAUGGGAGGUACUGUACUGUACUGUAUUGGCUAGAUGGGAGGUACUGUAUUGGCUAGAUGGGAGGUACUGUACUGUAUUGUCUAGAUGGGAUGUACUGUACUGUAUUGGCUAGAUGGGAGGUACUGUACUGGCUGGAUGGGAGGUACUGUACUGUACUGGCUAGAUGGGAGGUACUGUACUGUAUUGGCUAGAUGGGAGGUACUGUACUGUACUGGCUAGAUGGGAGGUACUGUACUGUAUUGGCUAGAUGGGAGGUACUGUACUGUAUUGGCUAGAUGGGAGGUACUGUACUGUAUUGGCUAGAUGGGAGAUACUGUACUGUACUGGCUAGAUGGGAUGUACUGUACUGUAUUGGCUAGAUGGGAUGUACUGUACUGGCUGGAUGGGAGGUACUGUACUGUAUUGGCUAGAUGGGAGCUACUGUACUGGCUAGAUGGGAGGUACUGUACUGGCUGGAUGGGGGGUACUGUACUGUAUUGGCUAGAUGAGAGGUACUGUACUAUACUGGCUAGAUGGGAAGUACUGUACUGUACUGGCUAGACGGGAGGUACUGUACUGGCUGGAUGGGAGGUACAGUACUGGCUAGAUGGGAGGUACAGUACUGGCUGGAUGGGAGGUACAGUACUGGCUAGAUGGGAGGUACAGUACUGGCUGGAUGGGAGGUACAGUACUGGUUGGAUGGGAGGUACUGUAUUGGCUAGAUGAGGUACUGUAUUGGCUAGAUGAGGUACUGUACUGGUUAGAAGGGAGGUACAGUACUGGCUUGGUGGGAGGUACAGUACUGGCUGGAUGGGAGGUACAGUACUGGCUAGAUGAGGUACAGUACUGGCUAGAUGGGAGGUACAGUACUGGCUUGAUGGGAGGUACAGUACUGGCUGGAUGGGAGGUACAGUACUGGCUAGAUGAGGUACAGUACUGGCUAGAAGGGAGGUACAGUUCAGUACUGGUUAGAAGGGAGGUACUGUAUUGGUGGGAGGUACAGUACUGGUUAGAAGGGAGGUACAGUACUGGCUAGAAUGGAGGUACAGUACUGGCUUGGUGGGAGGUACAGUAUUGUACUGGGUGGAUGGGAAUAUGUAAACCCAGCCAACAUAUCUGGGUUAGUAUUCUGUAUGUGAAAUUGAGACAUCCAGGCCCGCUAGCCAAAACUCAACGGUGUGUGACUGACAGCUACAUGAACAUUAACUAUGUUACUCUUAUAAUGACCAUUUGGGGGGAGGGGGGCUUAUGUUGGUCCUGGUACACACCUGUACAAGUCUGUAAUGGAAAUGUGUUUCUUACAUACUGAGACCCUGAGGAGUGGGGUCGCGACCUUUUAUGGUGAUACCAUUCAGUAUUGGCUUC